ACUUAAAUUGAAGAGUUUGAUCAUGGCUCAGAUUGAACGCUGGCGGCAGGCCUAACACAUGCAAGUCGAGCGGUAGCACAGAGAGCUUGCUCUCGGGUGACGAGCGGCGGACGGGUGAGUAAUGUCUGGGAAACUGCCUGAUGGAGGGGGAUAACUACUGGAAACGGUAGCUAAUACCGCAUAACGUCGCAAGACCAAAGUGGGGGACCUUCGGGCCUCAUGCCAUCAGAUGUGCCCAGAUGGGAUUAGCUAGUAGGUGGGGUAACGGCUCACCUAGGCGACGAUCCCUAGCUGGUCUGAGAGGAUGACCAGCCACACUGGAACUGAGACACGGUCCAGACUCCUACGGGAGGCAGCAGUGGGGAAUAUUGCACAAUGGGCGCAAGCCUGAUGCAGCCAUGCCGCGUGUGUGAAGAAGGCCUUCGGGUUGUAAAGCACUUUCAGCGGGGAGGAAGGCGGUAAGGUUAAUAACCUUGUCGAUUGACGUUACCCGCAGAAGAAGCACCGGCUAACUCCGUGCCAGCAGCCGCGGUAAUACGGAGGGUGCAAGCGUUAAUCGGAAUUACUGGGCGUAAAGCGCACGCAGGCGGUCUGUCAAGUCGGAUGUGAAAUCCCCGGGCUCAACCUGGGAACUGCAUUCGAAACUGGCAGGCUAGAGUCUUGUAGAGGGGGGUAGAAUUCCAGGUGUAGCGGUGAAAUGCGUAGAGAUCUGGAGGAAUACCGGUGGCGAAGGCGGCCCCCUGGACAAAGACUGACGCUCAGGUGCGAAAGCGUGGGGAGCAAACAGGAUUAGAUACCCUGGUAGUCCACGCCGUAAACGAUGUCGAUUUGGAGGUUGUGCCCUUGAGGCGUGGCUUCCGGAGCUAACGCGUUAAAUCGACCGCCUGGGGAGUACGGCCGCAAGGUUAAAACUCAAAUGAAUUGACGGGGGCCCGCACAAGCGGUGGAGCAUGUGGUUUAAUUCGAUGCAACGCGAAGAACCUUACCUGGUCUUGACAUCCACAGAACUUUCCAGAGAUGGAUUGGUGCCUUCGGGAACUGUGAGACAGGUGCUGCAUGGCUGUCGUCAGCUCGUGUUGUGAAAUGUUGGGUUAAGUCCCGCAACGAGCGCAACCCUUAUCCUUUGUUGCCAGCGGUUAGGCCGGGAACUCAAAGGAGACUGCCAGUGAUAAACUGGAGGAAGGUGGGGAUGACGUCAAGUCAUCAUGGCCCUUACGACCAGGGCUACACACGUGCUACAAUGGCAUAUACAAAGAGAAGCGACCUCGCGAGAGCAAGCGGACCUCAUAAAGUAUGUCGUAGUCCGGAUUGGAGUCUGCAACUCGACUCCAUGAAGUCGGAAUCGCUAGUAAUCGUAGAUCAGAAUGCUACGGUGAAUACGUUCCCGGGCCUUGUACACACCGCCCGUCACACCAUGGGAGUGGGUUGCAAAAGAAGUAGGUAGCUUAACCUUCGGGAGGGCGCUUACCACUUUGUGAUUCAUGACUGGGGUGAAGUCGUAACAAGGUAACCGUAGGGGAACCUGCGGUUGGAUCACCUCCUUACCUUAAAGAA
rnacentral:rRNA from 1 species